AACUGUCGUGGCUGGGGGGAGCUAUGAUCCAUGGCUGCUGUCAUGGUGGUGAGGAUCUGUGAUCCACCACAUCCUGUCAUGAGAGAAGUGGGGGAGCUGUGAUCCAUGGCAGGCUGUUGUGGAGCUGUGAUUAUUGGUAGGUUGUUGGGGAGGGGGAGCUGUGAUCCAUGGCAGGCUGUCGUGGAGCUGUGAUUAGUUGUAGGUUGUUGGGGAGGGGGGAGCUGUGAUCCAUGGCAGGCUGUCGUGGGGCAGGGAGCUGUGAUUAGUGGUAGGUUGUUGUCAGGGGAGCUGUGAUCCAUGGCAGGCUGUCGUGGCGAGGAGCUGUGA